rnacentral:pre_miRNA from 1 species
AAUAAACGAAUUUCUGAGUUUUUCUAUAGAAUUUUUAUCUCUUUGUCUUAUUUGAAUUUUUAAGAUUAAUAUUUUUAUUGUUAUCACAUGAUAAAACAUAACUAGCAUUUUACGUGUGACUAUUUUUUUAACUUUUUCAUAAAUUUUUAAAUAAGACAGAUGGUCAAACGCCAAACUAGAAAACUCAGAAAUGCUCUUUUU